rnacentral:rRNA from 1 species
GAUCAUGCUCAGGAUAAACGCUGGCGGCGCACAUAAGACAUGCAAGUCGAACGGAAGUCGUUGUAAUGAUAUAGACAUGGACGGAGAACUUGUUCAAAGAAAGUGAAAGUUGACUUACAACAAUGGCUUUAGUGGCGGACUGGUGAGUAACACGUAAGCAACCUGCCUAUCAGAGGGGAACAACAGUUAGAAAUGACUGCUAAUACCGCAUAUGCCUAAGUAUCAC